GAUGAACGCUGGCUACAGGCUUAACACAUGCAAGUCGAGGGGAAACGGCAUUGAGUGCUUGCACUGAAUGGACGUCGACCGGCGCACGGGUGAGUAACGCGUAUCCAACCUUCCCGUUACUGCGGGAUAACCUGCCGAAAGGCAGACUAAUACCGCAUGUUCUUCGAUGACGGCAUCAGAUUCGAAGCAAAGACUCGUCGGUAACGGAGGGGGAUGCGUCUGAUUAGCUUGUUGGCGGGGCGACGGCCCACCAAGGCGACGAUCAGUAGGGGUUCUGAGAGGAAGGUCCCCCACAUUGGAACUGAGACACGGUCCAAACUCCUACGGGAGGCAGCAGUGAGGAAUAUUGGUCAAUGGGCGGAAGCCUGAACCAGCCAAGUAGCGUGCAGGAUGACGGCCCUACGGGUUGUAAACUGCUUUUAUGCGGGGAUAAAGUGAGGG
rnacentral:rRNA from 1 species